rnacentral:rRNA from 1 species
GACGAACGCUGGCGGCGCGCCUAACACAUGCAAGUCGAACGAGCGAGAGAGAGCUUGCUUUCUCGAGCGAGUGGCGAACGGGUGAGUAACGCGUGAGGAACCUGCCUCAAAGAGGGGGACAACAGUUUGAAACGACUGCUAAUACCGCAUAAGCCCACGACCCGGCAUCGGGUAGAGGGAAAAGGAGCAAUCCGCUUUGAGAUGGCCUCGCGUCCGAUUAGCUAGUUGGUGAGGUAACGGCCCACCAAGGCGACGAUCGGUAGCCGGACUGAGAGGUUGAACGGCCACAUUGGGACUGAGACACGGCCCAGACUCCUACGGGAGGCAGCAGUGGGGAAUAUUGCACAAUGGGGGAAACCCUGAUGCAGCGACGCCGCGUGGAGGAAGAAGGUCUUCGGAUUGUAAACUCCUGUUGUUGAGGAAGAUAAUGACGGUACUCAACAAGGAAGUGACGGCUAACUACGU